AUCGAACGCUGGCGGCAUGCCUUACACAUGCAAGUCGAACGGUAACAGGUCUUCGGAUGCUGACGAGUGGCGAACGGGUGAGUAAUACAUCGGAACGUGCCCGAUCGUGGGGGAUAACGAAGCGAAAGCUUUGCUAAUACCGCAUAAGAUCUACGGAUGAAAGCAGGGGACCGCAAGGCCUUGCGCGAACGGAGCGGCCGAUGGCAGAUUAGGUAGUUGGUGGGAUAAAAGCUUACCAAGCCGACGAUCUGUAGCUGGUCUGAGAGGACGACCAGCCACACUGGGACUGGGACACGGCCCAGACUCCUACGGGAGGCAGCAGUGGGGAAUUUUGGACAAUGGGCGAAAGCCUGAUCCAGCCAUGCCGCGUGCAGGAUGAAGGCCUUCGGGUUGUAAACUGCUUUUGUACGGAACGAAAAGACUCUUUCUAAUAAAGAGGGUCCAUGACGGUACCGUAAGAAUAAGCACCGGCUAACUACGUGCCAGCCGCCGCCGUAACAC
rnacentral:rRNA from 1 species